CCUACGGGAGGCUGCAGUGAGGAAUAUUGGUCAAUGGGCGUAAGCCUGAACCAGCCAAGUCGCGUGAGGGAUGAAGGUUCUAUGGAUCGUAAACCGCUUUUGUAAGGGGAUAAAGUGCGGGACGUGUCCCGGUUUGUAUGUACCUUAUGAAUAAGGAUCGGCUAACUCCGUGCCAGCAGCCGCGGUAAUACGGAGGAUCCGAGCGUUAUCCGGAUUUAUUGGGUUUAAAGGGUGCGUAGGCGGCCUUUUAAGUCAGCGGUGAAAGUCUGUGGCUCAACCAUGGAACUGCCGUUGAAACUGGGAGGCUUGAGAAUGUUUGCGGUAGGCGGAAUGCGUGGUGUAGCGGUGAAAUGCUUAGAGAUCACGCAGAACCCCGAUUGCGAAGGCAGCUUACCAAACUAUAUCUGACGUUGAGGCACGAAAGCGUGGGUAGCAAACAGGAUUAGAUACCCCUGUAGUC
rnacentral:rRNA from 1 species